rnacentral:rRNA from 1 species
UACGAGUGGCUCAAGCGUUAUCCGGAAUUAUUGGGCGUAAAGGAUGUGUAGGUGGUUAUAUUAGUUACGUGUCCAACCUCUUGGCUCAACCUGGAGAUAGCACGUAAAACGGUAUGACUAGAGUAUGUUAGGGGUGAGCGGAACUCAUAGUGUAGGGGUGAAAUCCGUUGAUAUUAUGGGGGAACACCAAAAAGCGAAGGCAGCUCACUGGGACAUUACUGACACUGAAACAUGAAAGCGUGGGUAGCGAAUGGG